rnacentral:rRNA from 1 species
AUGAACGCUGGCGGCGUGCUUAACACAUGCAAGUCGAGCGAAGCACUUAAGAAUGAUUCUUCGGAUGAAUCUUUUGUGACUGAGCGGCGGACGGGUGAGUAACGCGUGGGUAACCUGCCUCAUACAGGGGGAUAACAGUUAGAAAUGGCUGCUAAUACCGCAUAAGACCACAGUACUGCAUGGUACAGUGGUAAAAACUCCGGUGGUAUGAGAUGGACCCGCGUCUGAUUAGGUAGUUGGUGAGGUAACGGCCCACCAAGGCGACGAUCAGUAGCCGGCCUGAGAGGGUGAACGGCCACACUGGAACUGAGACACGGUCCAAACUCCUACGGGAGGCAGCAGUGAGGAAUAUUGGUCAAUGGGCGAGAGCCUGAACCAGCCAAGUAGCGUGAAGGAUGACUGCCCUAUGGGUUGUAAACUGCUUUUAUAAGGGAAUAAAGUGAGUCUCGUGAGACUUUUGCAUGUACCUUAUGAAUAAGGACCGGCUAAUUCCGUG